GAUGAACGCUGGCGGCGUGCCUAAUACAUGCAAGUCGAGCGAACAGACGAGGAGCUUGCUCCUCUGACGUUAGCGGCGGACGGGUGAGUAACACGUGGAUAACCUACCUAUAAGACUGGGAUCACUUCGGGAAACCGGAGCUAAUACCGGAUAAUAUAUUGAACCGCAUGGUUCAAUAGUGAAAUACGGUUUUGCUGUCACUUAUAGAUGGAUCCGCGCCGCAUUAGCUAGUUGUUAAGGUAACGGCUUACCAAGGGGACGAUGCGUAGCCGACCUGAGAGGGUGAUAGGCCACACUGGAACUGAGACAGGGUCAAGACUCCUACGGGAGGCAGCAGUAGGGAAUCUUCCGCAAUGGGCGAAAGCCUGACGGAGCAAGGCCGCGUGAGUGAUGAAGGUCUUGGGAUCGUAAAACUCUGUUAUUAGGGAAGAACAAAUGUGUAAGUAACUAUGCACGUCUUGACGGUACCUAAUCAGAAAGCCACGGCUAACUACAUG
rnacentral:rRNA from 1 species